ensembl:lncRNA
AAAAAAGGUAACAUGGAAAGCUAGGGAAUUCUCAUUUUCUUAUUUGUAGGAAAAAUAAGAUAUUGUGGCAUUUUAAACAGCUCCAACUAUUAUUAAUACUUCUAGCUGAACUAUUCUUAUCUUUAGUCUAAUUAUGUUAACAUGCAUUUUGUUAGACGAUGUAUGCUGAAGGAUAACCUAAUUCCCAUCAAAGUCGGUAGGAGCUGGAAAAGAUCCCAGUCCUGCAAAGACUCAUAUAUCACGCUUAUGUUCAAGUACAUGAGAAGCUCAGGCAUCUACAGAGAAAUCUGCACACAUGUAGAAAAUGAUGCACAUACGUAAGUCUUUGCAGAAUGGGAAAUUAGGACACUUGGAAAUUCUUGAUGGGGUCGGUGUGCUGAUCUCAACCUUUCAUUUCUUUCUCUAUAUUGGAGAAAGUAUGCUAGUGCUGUUCUAAAAGUUUUUCACCCUGUUUGAAUAGAAUUUACAACAGAUACUAGUAAAUGCAUAAUUAUAUAGAGAAAGAAGAUAAAAAUAAAAUAUUCCAUAAAGUAUUUCCUGAAUUGAUGCCAGCAAUGUAGAGCUCUUUAUACAUUUUAGAAUCUGCCCUGUAUUUGAAAGUACUCUCAUACAAUAUUUAUUGUAGAUGUUUAUAGUGGACUAAUGCAUUUCUGUUCAUAAAGUGUAAACAAAUAACCCUGAGAGCACUAAGAACACAGUAUUUAAGAAAAAUAACAUGUAUACUGUGGUAUAUUUAUUUAUAUGCUUUUCUAAGCCUCAGGAAUAUCUUUGUAUGCUUUUUACAUGCACCAUUUAGAUCAGUAAUUUAUGAAAACAUCAAGCAUAGCAUACAUUCAAACUGCAAACACGGCUGCUAAUAAUAAGGGCAGUAUAUUUGCAAACAAGCAUUGCACUCAACCAAAAGAAUCUUCCUAACUUCAGAGACACCCUGCUCUUUCUAAUAGGAAUUAAAAAACAGUUCAAUACAAGUUCACCUGGUAGGUAUUUUUCACCAGUUUUCUGUUGCUAUUGACCACUUUUCCAAUUAGUGCUUUACUUGUGACCAUAGGACAAAAUGCUGUUGCUUUGUCAGCCUAUAUAUAAGAAAGCAGAGAAAAAUCCUAAAUCUUAAGAAGAAUGUUUCUCUUCCCCUUCCUAAGAGAGAUACAUUGUCAGAUACAUCCUAGAAGUGAGCCAUUGAAAUUGAAGUCUAAAAUCACUCCAGUCUUUUCGCAAGCUCUAGGUCUCACAAAUAAUGGCACAUGCUACCAAAAGUUUGAGAGAACUGAAAUGUGAAAAACUUACUGAGAAGAUGUCUUUUGGCUGAGGACAAAUCCAGGAGAGCAAUUGUUAAAAUAUGGUGUCGCAUUUAGUGGACAGGGAGAUAACGAAUGAACUAUGAAGAAUGACUGAAUGAUUUUUAAGACUGUACCAAGGAGAAAAGGGCAUGAAAGGACUUGUGAUACAUUAUAUAUAAUUUCUGUACUGAAAUGUGCAAAAAGAAAUUAUGUGAAUGCAGCUGAUAGCUGCUACUGUGAAAUAGCACAGGUAAGGCUAAAUGUCUGAGUAGGAAAAAAACAAUUCAGAGUGCAGAUCUGGUGGUGCUUGAAGAAAAUAUGUUGUCCCAUAAUGCCAGUACCAUUCAGAAAUGAACAAUAUUACACCACUGCAGGAGGGAGGCUAUGCAUAAAAACAACUUGUCUUGUGGUGGUGGGUUACACCUUAGCAAGAGGUAUUGUUUCACUGCACCUAUAUGGGAUGUAAUGGGGUAAUAAGGAAUAUGAUAUUUUGAAGAUGUUCACUCAAAGUUGCCAGUUGAUCUCUGUCUCAAGAGGUAUGUGCUAUAAGAAAUACAAGAAGCUAAUUUAGGUAGUUUUGGGUUUUGUUUUGUUUAUGGUUUGUGUGCGUGUGUGUGUGUGAUUUUUCUUUAUUUGUUUAUUUUUAAUUAACCUAGUGUUUGAUGAGCUUUAGUUUUGCUGCUCUGUGUUGAUGUGUACCUUAUACAUGUCCUUGAAAGGCCGGGGUUAAACUCCUCCUGUUGCGGGGAUGCAGAUUCUUCCAAUUAUUGGCAUAAUUAUAUUAAAUAUGGUCUUCUGCCAUCUUGGAGAGCCAGAAAUGCAUAGGUCUAUUAAGCUUUUUAAUUAACUGUUAAAAAAAAAAAAAAAAAA